rnacentral:lncRNA from 1 species
UUAUGCUAGUUUCUCUUCUAUUCUGGGAAUAGGAGCACAUGUGAUGUCAGGAAAUUCCACUGUUUCACAUGACAUUUUGUGUCACCAGCAGGAUUGUGUUUCUCUACCUGUGAGUUGUACUGUUCCCUGAACAUCCUGUCUUUUUCUUCCUCCCAUCCUUGUUACCUCUCCUUCUAGAUUCGUCCCCACCGCCUCCUUUGAGCAGGCCACUCCAUCAGGAUGGUACUUUCAGCAUUUUCUUCUGGCUAAUACAGUCUUUAGGGGUUUUGCUCCCAAGGAUAUAAGUUUUGUGAUGGGCAAAAAAAAGGUGUGAAAUAUUUCCAAACUCUUAAGUAACCAAUGGGUGACGAAUACAUGACUCUCUUUUUUUGGCUGCAGCCUCAGCACAUGGAAGUUCCCGGGCCAGGGAUUGAAUCUGAGCCCCAGCUGUGACCUACACCGCAGCUGAGGCAGCACCGGAUGCCUCAUCCACUGCACCACAGUGAGAACGCCUAUGACUCAUUUUUUUUUUUCUUUAAACAUUAGAUUUCUUUGAUGAAUUUUGUGCUCAGGGGUUCUUGUGAGAUCUCAUUCUGAAGUCUGGCCUGGGGGUGUGUGCUGUAAAAAUUAAGAGUCUUUAAAACAUUCAGGUCACCACUCAUCUAUUUGACAAAUAUUUAUUAAGUGUCUUUUCUGGUCACCAGAGGGAGAGCAGCACAUUCACUCUCAUUCCCUUUGGAUGGAAAACCUAAUUGGUAUCCAUGUGAGAACCUCGGCGGACAAGGACUGGGAGCUACUCACAUAGCCAAUUGUUUUGCGUGGAUUGAUAUACAUGGUUGUUUUCCUGGCAAAGUCAGGGGCUACGUGUUUCUUUUCUGUUUCUUUUUUUUCCCAUUCCCCUGAAGCUGUGCUUCCCCCCUUGGGGUUCCUGAGCUUGAAGGGACUGCUUCGUAUUGUAUUUAUCAGUUAAUUAAUAUUUCUCAAAGCUGAGAGCGAGACAAAAGCAAAUUAAAAUCCAGUCUCUUUGCUUUGGGUUAAAGUGAUAUGCUCUCCGUUCUGUAUCUCGUGUUGAUCUGAAGCUCUGAUUGGUAGUUAUAUCAAUUCUUUUGUGAAUUAAACACAGGGAAAAGAAUGAAUUUUUUUAAAGGGCCACACCCAUGGCCUCUGGAGGUUCCCAGGCUAGGGGUCAGAUUGGAGCUGCAGCUGCCAGUCUACACCACAGCCACAGCAAUGUCAGAUUCUUAACCCACUGAGCGGGGCCAGGGAUGGAACCCGCGUCCUCAUGGAUACUAGUCGGGUUCUUAACCUGCUGAGCCACAACAGGAACUCCAAGAAUGAAUUCUUGCUUAACAUCAUUUGUUUUACUAAACACUGUCAAAUUAUUUUUGGAGGGGAGUGUGGUUGGAGACGUAGUAACGGCAGCUGACAGAGAGCACAUAGGUGGUUACAGACUAGAUUGUCAAUGUUAGUUGUUUAGUUGUAACGGAACCCAAAGUAGAUAUUGAUUUUUUAUUUUUUGGCUUCACCCACAGCAUGUGGGAGUUCCCAAGCUAGGCAUCGAACCU